CGGACGGGUGAGUAAUGUCUGGGAAACUGCCUGAUGGAGGGGGAUAACUACUGGAAACGGUAGCUAAUACCGCAUAACGUCGCAAGACCAAAGAGGGGGACCUUCGGGCCUCUUGCCAUCGGAUGUGCCCAGAUGGGAUUAGCUAGUAGGUGGGGUAAAGGCUCACCUAGGCGACGAUCCCUAGCUGGUCUGAGAGAAUGACCAGCCACACUGGAACUGAGACACGGUCCAG
rnacentral:rRNA from 1 species